CAGUGAAAUUGAACUCGCUGUGAAGAUGCAGUGUACCCGCGGCAAGACGGAAAGACCCCGUGAACCUUUACUAUAGCUUGACACUGAACAUUGAGCCUUGAUGUGUAGGAUAGGUGGGAGGCUUUGAAGUGUGGACGCCAGUCUGCAUGGAGCCGACCUUGAAAUACCACCCUUUAAUGUUUGAUGUUCUAACGUUGACCCGUAAUCCGGGUUGCGGACAGUGUCUGGUGGGUAGUUUGACUGGGGCGGUCUCCUCCUAAAGAGUAACGGAGGAGCACGAAGGUUGGCUAAUCCUGGUCGGACAUCAGGAGGUUAGUGCAAUGGCAUAAGCCAGCUUGACUGCGAGCGUGACGGCGCGAGCAGGUGCGAAAGCAGGUCAUAGUGAUCCGGUGGUUCUGAAUGGAAGGGCCAUCGCUCAACGGAUAAAAGGUACUCCGGGGAUAACAGGCUGAUACCGCCCAAGAGUUCAUAUCGACGGCGGUGUUUGGCACCUCGAUGUCGGCUCAUCACAUCCUGGGGCUGAAGUAGGUCCCAAGGGUAUGGCUGUUCGCCAUUUAAAGUGGUACGCGAGCUGGGUUUAGAACGUCGUGAGACAGUUCGGUCCCUAUCUGCCGUGGGCGCUGGAGAACUGAGGGGGGCUGCUCCUAGUACGAGAGGACCGGAGUGGACGCAUCACUGGUGUUC
rnacentral:rRNA from 1 species